rnacentral:rRNA from 1 species
GACGGACGCUGGCGGCGUGCCUAACACAUGCAAGUCGAACGGGGUAAUUCCUUCGGGGAUUACUUAGUGGCGAACGGGUGAGUAACGCGUGAGAAACCUGCCUUUCAGUGGGGGACAACAGUUGGGAACGACUGCUAAUACCGCAUAAUGUUAUUAGGGGGGCAUCCUCUGAUAACCAAAGAUUUAUUGCUGAAAGAUGGUCUCGCGUCUGAUUAGCUAGUUGGUGAGGUAACGGCUCACCAAGGCGACGAUCAGUAGCCGGUCUGAGAGGAUGAGCGGCCACAUUGGGACUGAGAUACGGCCCAG